rnacentral:rRNA from 1 species
UGGGGAAUUUUGGAAAUGGGCGCAAGCCUGAUCCAGCCAUGCCGCGUGUGUGAAGAAGGCCUUCGGGUUGUAAAGCACUUUCGGACGGAACGAAAUCGCGCGAGUUAAUAGCCCGCGUGGAUGACGGUACCGUAAGAAGAAGCACCGGCUAACUACGUGCCAGCAGCCGCGGUAAUACGUAGGGUGCGAGCGUUAAUCGGAAUUACUGGGCGUAAAGGGUGCGCAGGCGGCCCCGCAAGUCAGGCGUGAAAUCCCCGAGCUCAACUUGGGAAUGGCGCUUGAAACUACGGGGCUGGAGUGUGGCAGAGGGAGGUGGAAUUCCACGUGUAGCGGUGAAAUGCGUAGAUAUGUGGAGGAACACCGAUGGCGAAGGCAGCCUCCUGGGCCAACACUGACGCUCAUGCACGAAAGCGUGGGGAGCAAACAGGAUUAGAUACCCUGGUAGUCCACGCCCUAAACGAUGACGACUAGUUGUUGGAGGAGUUAAAUCCUUUAGUAACGAAGCUAACGCGCGAAGUCGUCCGCCUGGGGAGUACGGUCGCAAGAUUA